UGGGACGUUGGAGGUCAAGAUUCUCUAAAUGGGGAUUUCUAAGAAGCGAUGAAAUGAGAAAAUGAAAAUGAAGCAGGUGAUGCUGGACUGUGUGAGACGGGAGAGAGGAAACUGAGCAGGAACCAUUGCUUUCUUCUUGCUGAUGCAGACAGAAUGUGACUGGUUACUUCAAACUCUGGCUAUUCUGACCUCCCAGCCAUGAUGGACUGUAGCCUGGCACGUCAUGACGGAUCGUAACCAGAACCUAAAACCUCAAGGGAACAAGAGAGGGACUGACAGUUGCUGAUUGCCUUCCGUGGGACACUCAUUCCGUCACCAGAAAAACUCUUCCGGAGGCUUUAUUUUCCCCAGUAUCACCAGAGUAAUAUUAAAGAAGACACUGCAAAACUGGGCUCUCCUGAAUUUCACUCUGUAG
rnacentral:sRNA from 1 species